GGUAGCAUAAUCAUUAGUCUUUUAAUUGGGGACUAGAAUGAAAGGGUAAACUGGAAAAGACUUUUUUAAGGUAAAAAAUAAAGUUGACUUUUUAGUAAGAAGGCUAAAAUGACUCUUAAAGACAAGAAGACCCUAUAAAACUUUAUAUUUACUAUUUUAGGAAAGAAAAUAAAUAUUUUGCUGGGGUGGUAGGAAAAAUAACUUUUCUUAAUUUUAAAGACUUAUGAGUCUUAAUACCUAAAAUUUUUAAAAGAAGAACAAGUUACUUUAGGGAUAACAGCUUAAUUCACUUUAAAAGUUCUAAUUGACAAGUGAGUUUAUGACCUCGAUGUUGAAUUAAAAGUCCUGUUUGGCGCAAAAGCUUAAAAGGAGGUC
rnacentral:rRNA from 1 species